UGGGGAAUUUUGGACAAUGGGGGAAACCCUGAUCCAGCCAUCCCGCGUGUGCGAUGAAGGCCUUCGGGUUGUAAAGCACUUUUGGCAGGAAAGAAACGUCAUGGGUUAAUACCCCGUGAAACUGACGGUACCUGCAGAAUAAGCACCGGCUAACUACGUGCCAGCAGCCGCGGUAAUACGUAGGGUGCAAGCGUUAAUCGGAAUUACUGGGCGUAAAGCGUGCGCAGGCGGGUCGGAAAGAAAGAUGUGAAAUCCCAGAGCUCAACUUUGGAACUGGAUUUUUAAACAACGGGGUGGAGGGGGUGAGGGGGAGGUGGAAUUCCGGGUGUAGCAAUGAAAUGCGUAGAUAUGCGGAGGAAAACCGAUGGGGAAGGCAGCCGCCUGGGAUAACCCUGAAGCUCAUGGAGGGAAGGGUGGGGAGCAAACAGG
rnacentral:rRNA from 1 species